GGAGAAGAUUCCUAGGGAAGGAGAGUUCACCCUUAGAACCGAUCCGUGAGCUGGGUUAAUAGCGUCCACCGGCAGUUU
rnacentral:rRNA from 1 species